GGCGGCUGGAGAAGGUUGCGGAGGAGUUUCUAAAGAAGCAGAUGAAGAAAAGUAAGAAGGUUGCUGGCGAUGGAGAAGCUCACAAGUAUGUUGCCAAGUAUAGGGACGAGUCUGAGCGCUGUGUCGCCGAGGUUGCAGAGUCUGUGAAGGAGGCUUUGAAGUCUCUCAAUUGUAAGAGAAAGGGUUCUGAAGCUGCACUGGAGAAAGCUGAUUCCAAGAAGUUGAAGAUAUGGUUGGAGCAAUGAGCAUCUCAGUAUUGCGAAGUGUGUGGCAAAUGUUCUGGCUAUGCGAGAACUGGGAUGGCGAAGUUAGUGUCUGAUGGCAGAAUUUGCAAGAAAGGGCUGAACCAGUUGAUGUAGGAGGAGGAAGUUCGCCCGGUGUUCCUCACAAUUUAGGGUCUUAUCUUCAUCAACAGGGAUUAGACCCUCCUUCAAGCUACCUUGUUCCCGAAGCUGGACUAGUUUCUAUGGAUGACUUGGCUUUUUCUUCCGGUCCCCAACACAUGUCAGCUGAAGAGAAGAAAGAGCUUCUUGUAGUUGCACGAAACAGUCUUGAAUUGCUAUCUAGCAUAAUAAAUUCUGAGGCAGAGCCCAAAACCUUGAAGCUUUACCGCUUCCUUGUGAGGAGGACCGGCAGCAACUUCAAUGUCGUGAUACUGAAGGGCAAGGUUUAUUUUUCCCUCUCUUAUCUUUCUCAGUGGAUUCUCUUGGAGGUAACAGCAGAACUGUUAUGAUAGGUUGUGAAUGCUUCAUGAAAUUACCACCUGAAAUUGGAAAUUUGGAGAAACUUGAGAAGCUUGAUCUUGAUGAGACUCAGAUCACAGAUCUGCCAAAAGAGGUCCAGAGGAUAUUGAGGUUAGAACAUGGCUUCAAUUAGGGUGUUAGAGAUGCUUGGAAACCCCAUCAAGUUGAGUGGUACAGCAAGGUCAGCACCAUCAGCUUCUAGCCCUGCCACCUUCAAGACUGUGGCUCUCUUUGGUAAGAAGGCAGCACCACCUCCUCCUUCAAAGAAAGCUGUUGCUGCUGUCACUCCUGCCAAUGAUGAACUCGCCAAGUGGUAUGGGCUUGUAUGCGGGAACAAGUAGAGGAAUCAAGAAUUCACAAUGCAGUUUCUUAGGUGCAACUAAGGUGAAUUUUCCCAGCCAAACAAUGUCCAGAACUUGUCAACUCAAUCACAAACAUAAAACACAUUCUGGGGCACUCCAUGCUACCUGCCAGGGUGACAAGAUCCUGGUAGCUAACAGAGGCAAAAUCCUGGUUCGUGCUAUUCGCACUGCUCAUGAAUUGGGAAUACCCUGUAUGGCUUUGUACUCCACCAUAGACAAGGAUGCACUUCAUGUCAAAUUGGCUGAUGAAUCCGUCUGCAUUGGCGAAGCGCCAAGUAGCCAAUCCUGCUCUGCUGGCGGUGCCGGGAAACCUGUAGUUAGAUGGACUGAGGGAGAUUUCAGAUACAAAGUUGGUUUGAGGAUAGGCUGCAAGACUUACCAGAUGACCCUAAUAAUGAAUUGAUGAUGCCCAAAGACCCUGAAUGUAAUAAGGAAGGCCAAGGAUAAGCUUGAGAAAUCUGUAGUGGCGGAUAAUGAAUCUGGGAAAAGUAUAGAAAGUGAAGUUAGAACCAGUUCUGGGAUGUUUCUCGGCAAGGAGUAGUGAAGUCAUUUAGUUCUGGAUUUUCAAAGGAAGAGACUACCUGAGGCGUGAUAAGCAUUUUCAAAGGAAGAGACCAAGGUGGUUGCGUGGUGGUUGCUGGCGAAUCCAAGGAGCGUGCCAUCGCUUCAAAGCUUGGCUGCUCAUGGUUCAUUGAGAGCUAGAAGGAAGGCUGAUGCAUUAUUAAGGUUGCUCAAUAGAUGCCGCUCUCAGCGUCAUCAUUCUCUUUGAUUCAUAUAUGUAUUCAUAUAUGUAUUUUGCAAUGACCAUGGAUUUGUAUAUUCUUCUUGUCAUUCUUAUAUGUUUGUUACAAUGAGUUUUCAUUAGGAAAUAAUCCUUAGAUGACUUAAUUACACAAGUUGUCAAAACAUAUUGAAUUUCUUUG